rnacentral:rRNA from 1 species
AUACAGAGGGUGCAAGCGUUAAUCGGAUUUACUGGGCGUAAAGCGCGCGUAGGCGGCUAAUUAAGUCAAAUGUGAAAUCCCCGAGCUUAACUUGGGAAUUGCAUUCGAUACUGGUUAGCUUGAGUGUGGGAGAGGAUGGUAGAAUUCCAGGUGUAGCGGUGAAAUGCGUAGAGAUCUGGAGGAAUACCGAUGGCGAAGGCAGCCAUCUGGCCUAACACUGACGCUGAGGUGCGAAAGCAUGGGGAGCAAACAGGAUUAGAAACCCCAGUAGUCC